UGCUGGCCAAUCAGCAGUAAAUAUACAUUUAAGUAAUUUCCUUAGACAAGGUGGCGGCGAUAAGACGUGAGACAUAUGUACAGUGAGACAAAACAAUGACCGCACUGACGGCGAAUCCUUCAGAGAUGAUAGUUUAUAUCUGCGUCCUUUUUGUACAAUAGAGAACAGAAUACAUCCUGUAAGUAUAAUAAUUAUUACCACCUCUGCUAUUACAACUGUACUAUGAUCAAUUCACAAUCUAUGUAGACGAUUAGACAAAAUAAAAAAAAACUCUAAUUUAGAGUUUGUUUCUACCUUUCUGCCAGGUGUCCAACUAAUGCAGAGUAUAUUCAAGCUGCCAACACACUGGUUUUGAGGAACCCUUUCCAGAGAAAUAUAGAAAGAAAUGACUGUGAAACUUGUGUUGGGGAGGAUUCAAUGUCUGUUGAGGCACUUGUAAAUGUGCUACAGAGUGAGUAUCAGAAACACAUCCAGACACAUGGACUGUCAAAGACCACACGACAGGAACAUUCUCUUG